rnacentral:pre_miRNA from 1 species
UUGUAGUGUGACAUGCCCGAUUGGUUCUUACUCUGAUGAUUUAUUUAUUAUUUAAUUGAUUUUGGGUAACGUGGUGUUACAAUUGG